CAGUAGCCACGGGAAUACAGAGGGUGCGAGCGUUAAUCGGAUUUACUGGGCGUAAAGCGUGCGUAGGCGGCUUCUUAAGUCGGAUGUGAAAUCCCUGAGCUUAACUUAGGAAUUGCAUUCGAUACUGGGAAGCUAGAGUAUGGGAGAGGAUGGUAGAAUUCCAGGUGUAGCGGUGAAAUGCGUAGAGAUCUGGAGGAAUACCGAUGGCGAAGGCAGCCAUCUGGCCUAAUACUGACGCUCAUGCACGAAAGCGUGGGGAGCAAACAGGAUUAGAUACCCCUGUAGUCCCUGUCUCUUAUAC
rnacentral:rRNA from 1 species